GAUUAACGCUGGCGGCGUGCAUAACACAUGCAAGUCGAACGAUGAAACUUAAAUGAUUUCUUCGGAAUGAACUUAAGUGGAUUAGUGGCGGACGGGUGAGUAACGCGUGAGUAACCUGCCUUACACAAGGGGAUAGCCGUUGGAAACGACGAAUAAUACCCUAUGAUGUUUCUAUCUCGCAUGAGAUAUUAACCAAAGUGUUAGCGGUGUAAGAUGGACUUGCGUCUGAUUAGCUAGUUGGUGAGAAAAAAGCCCACCAAGGCAACGAUCAGUAGCCGGCUUGAGAGAGUGUACGGCCACAUUGGGACUGAGACACGGCCCAGACUCCUACGGGAGGCAGAGUGGGGAAUUUUGCACAAUGGGGGAAACCCUGAUGCAGCGACGCCGCGUGAUUUAGAAGGCCUUCGGGUUGUAAAAAUCUUUUGUAUAGGAAGAAAAUGACAGUACUAUACGAAUAAGGUCCGGCUAAUUACGUG
rnacentral:rRNA from 1 species